rnacentral:rRNA from 1 species
UGAGGAAUAUUGGUCAAUGGACGAAAGUCUGAACCAGCCAUGCCGCGUGCAGGAUGACGGCCUUCUGGGUUGUAAACUGCUUUUAUACAGGAACAAAGAGUCCCUGCGGGGAAAGUUGAGGGUACUGUAUGAAUAAGCACCGGCUAACUCCGUGCCAGCAGCCGCGGUAAUACGGAGGGUGCAAGCGUUGUCCGGAUUUAUUGGGUUUAAAGGGUGCGUAGGCGGUCUGAUAAGUCAGUGGUGAAAGUCUUCGGCUUAACCGAAGGAUUGCCAUUGAUACUGUCAGACUUGAGUUCAGUUGAGGUAUGCGGAAUUUAUGGUGUAGCGGUGAAAUGCAUAGAUACCAUAAAGAACACCGAUAGCGUAGGCAGCAUACUAAACUGGCACUGACGCUGAGGCACGAAAGCGUGGGGAGCGAACAGGAUUAGAUACCCCCGUAGUCC